rnacentral:rRNA from 1 species
UACGGGGGGGGCAAGCGUUGUUCGGAAUUACUGGGCGUAAAGCGCGUGUAGGCGGUUCGGUAAGUCCGCUGUGAAAGUCGGGGGCUCAACCCUCGGAUGCCGGUGGAUACUGUCGAGCUUGAGUACGGAAGAGGCGAGUGGAAUUCCUGGUGUAGCGGUGAAAUGCGCAGAUAUCAGGAGGAACACCAAUUGCGAAGGCAGCUCGCUGGGACGUUACUGACGCUGAGACGCGAAAGCGUGGGGAGCAAACAGG